rnacentral:pre_miRNA from 1 species
UCUACAUUUCACGUUCUCUCUCACCGGUCAGAGAGGAGAGAGAGAGUGUGCGAUAUGUAGAGA